rnacentral:tRNA from 1 species
GGAGAAUUGGCCGAGUGGUCUAUGGCGCACGCUUGGAAGGCGUGAGUACAGCAAUGUACCGAGAGUUCGAAUCUCUUGUUCUCCGCCA